GUGGGAGAAGACCACCCCAGCGCACAACAACAGCGUAUUUAUUAAGGAGAAUGCCGUAGUGGAACAGAGAGGGGCUAGCAGAUCUGCACUGGCUGUCAGUUAGCUUCCAGGCAGCCUUAUCACCAGCUCAACAAGAAUUCCUUCCUUAUCACCUGUUAAGAAGAAGGAUCAGUAUGUGUUGAAUUGGAACAGCUGUGUGGUAUCUCUUGCUUUCUACCUGUUGGUCCCUUCCUGAAGAAUCACGGCCGCUGCUUCACGCAGAUUAUACAUUAUGCAGUCCACCAGCACACGAUGCCUGAUGCUACUGCUCAAAGAUUAGGUGGAUUUGUGAUGGAUCAUUGCUAAAGAAAAAGGAGGAAGAAUCCUUGUUUUGGGAAAGUAUAUAUCCACUCUCAGAGGAAUCACCAAAGGCUUGAGUCCCAAAUGCUGCCUUCCUGCAUUGUACAAAGAAAGGAAAAUGCCAUUGGUGACUAUUCCCUUGGGCUGAACUGAGGAUGAGCAACAAAAUCCGAGGAGCACUGCCUGAGAAAGGGGCGAACUUGUCUGCUCUUUGCUCUCUCUUCCAGAAGAUAUAGGCUUGGGGAGGACCAGAAUGGGUGGGCCAGCUAGUCCUGCUUACGCUGGGUGAAGUGGCUUGGGCUCUGGUUCAUCAGGACUGGUUUCUGCAUAUCUGCAAGGUUCCUUACUCAUCACAGACACCGCCCCCCAUGGUGAAACCCCAGGUCCUUGCAGUGGACCAUGAGGGAAACUACAGCUUACCACCAGCCAGGCCAGAUUCCUCAGUGAGACAAUUGAUGCCGGGAGAGCAGGAGAGUUCAGAAAGGGGAGCCCAGCUAAGCAGCCCUGCACACAGCACGCACGUGCGGAGGUAACUCUGACCUGCAUGCACAAAGGAUCCUGACUCCCCAUGCUCAUGUUUUUUGAGUCCUCCCAGCCUUAAAUCUGACAUAUAAGAUUUGCUGGACCUGUCUAUGCCAGGUUCAUAGUGUAUAUACGGUGGAUCCAACCCACCCAGCAGAAGACCCAUUGCACACUGGCCGCUGCUGUCAGGCCCUGGCUUUGCAAUUGGAAGCUGGAUAUUUUUGUCUGUGGACUUGUGCCUUAAUGUGGCAUUGGAGCCAAUGUGCUGAGGGUUGUUUCUACUGCGAGAAGAAAUUUGUGGUGGAGCCACUUUUGCUCCGAGUUAGGUACAAGACCGUUUCCUUGGAUGCAGCAGAAGCUAAACAGCAAGCGGCAGCUGCUUUGCUUGUUCCCACCAGCUCCUACCACGCCAAGCUCAGCUGAAGAGGCUCUUAAUCUGUUUUUCUCAGAGACACGUUCCCUGGUUUCCUCCCAGCCCACAGGACUGAGUAUUCCCUUGUUGCUUCAUCUCAUGGAUUCUCCCAUCUUUACUACUUUUCUUUCGUGUAUUUCCAACGUGGACCGAACAUUGACCAUAGUCACUGCUUCUGUCACACGUGUCUUGUAUGUCUGCUCUGCUACGGGCAUUGACUUGCUCCUGCGUUUGGGAUGGAGAUUGCUGUUUGCAUGGUCUAGCUACACAGAGCCCCUUUUUCAUGGAACUAUCUUAAAUGAGGUACAGCAGUUAGUCAAAUACAAACCUAUUUAAAGAAUAAAAUUGCCAAGUUCUUUGAAAAAGUCCACUCCUAA